ACUGGUACUUAAGGGGCGGGAGGGAGUGUUAAUAAAUGGUCGUGCUGCUUAAAAUUUCCCCGUCUGUUCCCAGGUGACUUCUCCUUAGGGAGCUCCGUGACAAAGAUCAUUAAUAUGUUUCCUACAAUUUGGCCAGGAAGUGGCUGGCAGUGGAAGGAGGAAAAUAAUCAGCACAUCUGCAUGUGAGCCCAUCUCAGACACAAACUGUGAAUCACAACUCACUUGGCUUCAUAACCAAGACCUGCUCUAAGGAAUUUCAUCUCUUCCUUGGAGACCUUGAUUGGCCUGCUAGAUAAACCUGGAAUACUUUCUGAUGCAAAGCCAGCAAUUCCUUCCUGCAUCCUGAUCCAUGCUUUAAAGCCCACAUCAAGACUUGUCUCCUUUGGCUGGGCACAGCGGCUCAUGCUUCUAAUCCCAGCACUUUGGGAGGCCAAGCCACUGGGAGAAGCCCAAAUGCCGAGGAGGAAAGAAUCGGUGGAAAAAAUGAUGGCGCAGCAUUGGAUGGCAUCUGCUUGCAACCACGACGGUGAAGAUUUUCAAUGGUUUCUGAAAAAGCAAAAAUGGCAUAUUCUCAUUUUUAUGAAGAAUAUGAAUAUAUUCAUAUUGAGAAGGACAGCUUGAAGACUAAGUAUUAAAAUGUGAGUAAUAGUCAUUGGUGGAUGCUGGAGAAACAAGUGAUCUGUCUAUUUCGUUCCUGUGAUUUUCAGGAUUUUCCAAAAUGUUUACAAUGCACAGGUGUCACUUUUGCAAUCAGGUAAAAAGCUAUCAAUGAGGCAGAGGGAAAAAAGGACUUCUUUAUUAAGAUGAGAACUUAAAUACAGAUAAUUAUGAAAAUGUCUGGGAGAAUUCUUUUCCUGGGCCACAUUGAAUGCCAUCAGUUUUAAAACCAGAAAAACUGCACGACCCUGCAGUCAAAAUGGAACAUGGCCGUCUGUUUUAAGUAACAAUGACUGUCAUUCAAUAAACUCGAUACUUGUGUUGAAAAUUUGUCA
rnacentral:lncRNA from 13 species